AAGUCGUAACAAGGUUUCCGUAGGUGAACCUGCGGAAGGAUCAUUAACACUUUUAUUAAUUUAUGAGUAAUUCUUUUUGGAUUACUUAUAGAUUUAUAACCCCAUUUUUGGAUGAAUUAUUUGUAAUUAGAAAAUUUAGGCUUGCUGUUUGAAUUUUCUAAUUAUUUUUUAUUACUCAUUUUUUUUUUAACCCCAAACAUUUUAUACAAACAAACAAAAGACUGAUAUUAUUUUUUUCUUUUUAGAUAAAGAAAAAACAAAAACAAAAAAAAAGCUAAGAAACAACUCUUAACAACGGAUAUCUUGGCUCUC
rnacentral:misc_RNA from 1 species